rnacentral:rRNA from 1 species
GAUGAGCCUAUGUUAGAUUAGCUAGUUGGUAGGGUAAAGGCCUACCAAGGCAGUGAUCUAUAGCUGGUCUGAGAGGAUGAAGCGCCACACUGGAACUGAGAUACCCUCCAGACUCCUACGGGAGGCAGCAGUGGGGAAUAUUGGACAAUGGGCGCAAGCCUGAUCCAGCUAUGCCGCGUGAGUGAGGAAGGCCUUUCGGUUGUAAAACUCUUUCAGUGGGGAAGAUAAUGACGGUACCCACAGAAGAAGUCCCGGCAAUGUCCGUGCCAGCAGCCGCGGUAAUACGGAGGGGGCAAGCGUUGUUCGGAAUUAUUGGGCGUUUAGGGCAUGUAGGCGGUUCGGUAAGUUAAAGGUGAAAUGCCAGGGCUUAACCCUGGAGCUGCUUUUAAUACUGCCAGACUCGAGUCCGGGAGAGGAUAGCGGAAUUCCUAGUGUAGAGGUGAAAUUCGUAGAUAUUAGGAGGAACACCAGUGGCGAAGGCGGCUAUCUGGUCCGGU